rnacentral:lncRNA from 1 species
UCUCCACCUAUGGAGACACCUUUGAAGAGUGCUCCAUAUAAAUACGAAGUCCUCUCGAUGCACCUACAAGUGACAAAAUAGAAUAGGAUGUUAGUUGUCCAGCACUACCUUGUUGGACCUCCUGCUGUUUCUCUAUGUAAUCUUGCCUUUGGAGAACUAAAUUUUCAUCAAAGGUGAUAUCCCAACUAAUGACAACCUUCUUCUCCAAGGGAUCCCAUAGCC